GUGGGGAAUAUUGCACAAUGGGCGAAAGCCUGAUGCAGCGACGCCGCGUGAGGGAUGACGGCCUUCGGGUUGUAAACCUCUUUCAGCAGGGACGAAGCGCAAGUGACGGUACCUGCAGAAGAAGCACCGGCUAACUACGUGCCAGCAGCCGCGGUAAUACGUAGGGUGCAAGCGUUGUCCGGACUUACUGGGCGUAAAGAGUUCGUAGGCGGUUUGUCGCGUCGUUUGUGAAAACCAGCAGCUCAACUGCUGGCUUGCAGGCGAUACGGGCAGACUUGAGUACUGCAGGGGAGACUGGAAUUCCUGGUGUAGCGGUGAAAUGCGCAGAUAUCAGGAGGAACACCGGUGGCGAAGGCGGGUCUCUGGGCAGUAACUGACGCUGAGGAACGAAAGCGUGGGUAGCGAACAGGAUUAGAUACCCGUGUAGUCC
rnacentral:rRNA from 1 species